rnacentral:rRNA from 1 species
GAUGAACGCUGGCGGCGUGCCUAAUACAUGCAAGUCGAGCGAACAGAUGAGGAGCUUGCUCCUCUGACGUUAGCGGCGGAUGGGUGAGUAACACGUGGAUAACCUACCUAUAAGACUGGGAUAACUUCGGGAAACCGGAGCUAAUACCGGAUAAUAUAUUGAACCGCAUGGUUCAAUAGUGAAAGACGGUUUUGCUGUCACUUAUAGAUGGAUCCGCGCCGCAUUAGCUAGUUGGUAAGGUAACGGCUUACCAAGGCAACGAUGCGUAGCCGACCUGAGAGGGUGAUCGGCCACACUGGAACGGAGACACGGUCCAGACUCCUACGGGAGGCAGCAGUAGGGAAUCUUCCGCAAUGGGCGAAAGCCUGACGGAGCAACGCCGCGUGAGUGAUGAAGGUCUUCGGAUCGUAAAACUCUGUUAUUAGGGAAGAACAAAUGUGUAAGUAACUAUGCACGUCUUGACGGUACCUAAUCAGAAAGCCACGGCUAACUACGUG